UUAAAUGUUGCCAUGGUGUAAAAGGGAGGUGUACCAACUCUUCAGUUAAGAAGGGUAUCUCAGCCAUGGUGUAUUAGUAUGGUGGGGGAACUUUUGUUGGAAUCGGCUAUCUCGAAUGAAGCCAGUUCCCGGACAAGAGGCGGAGCUUAGUGCAAAAGUCGAAAUUCCUAACAGCCAAUUGCAGGGCUGGUCACCAAUUGUCGGUGCCCUCUAUGAACCAAAAUACUAACUUCUUUCAUAAUUUAGAAAUUUCGGUUCUCGUUCGUUCGAAUACGGCCAUUACGUAUGAAUGCGAUGUAACCGUUUCAGUGAUGUGUGAUUUGAAAGUUAUCGAAAAAUGGUGAAACGGUGUUUUAUAGAAGAUUGUUGUACUGGAAGAGACCAAGAAAAUGGUCCAGCUAAACAAAACAGCACAGUUGACUUUUGAAUGCAGAGUUUGUUUGAACACUUAUCAGAGUAAGAGGGAACUGAAUUCCCAUUUGCAUGCUGCCCAACAUUUAAGAUCUCUUUCAAGAGCCACUCUACCUGAAAAUGAUCAGCAUUUUCCAAGCCGGAAACGAGUAUUUUUGGGAUUCAGUUGUAAAGUUUGCUCACAUCAAUUCGAGACACACAGUGAAUUAAGAAAACAUCUUUCAGACUUUGAUCAUCAUUGGACACCAAAACGAUCAAGGGAAAUGUCAAACCAAGACAGAAAUUCAUAUAAACACGAAAAUAACUUGAGGCGUCACAGGCAUCAAUCUUCCACCGAUGUAAGAUCAGACAAAUCUUUGGAUUGGCCAAA